rnacentral:rRNA from 1 species
GAUGAACGCUGGCGGUAUGCUUAACACAUGCAAGUCGAACGGACUCUUCGGAGUUAGUGGCGGACGGGUGAGUAACGCGUGAGAAUCUGGCUUUGGGUUCGGGACAACCACUGGAAACGGUGGCUAAUACCGGAUGUGCCGAGAGGUAAAAGAGAAAUUGCCUGAAGAUGAGCUCGCGUCUGAUUAGCUAGUUGGUGAGGUAAAGGCUCACCAAGGCAGCGAUCAGUAGCUGGUCUGAGAGGAUGACCAGCCACACUGGGACUGAGACACGGCCCAGACUCCUAGGGGAGGCAGCAGUGGGGAAUGUUCCGCAAUGGGCGAAAGCCUGACGGAGCAAUACCGCGUGAGGGAAGAAGGCUCUUGGGUUGUAAACCUCUUUUCUUAGGGAAGAACAAAAUGACGGUACCUAAGGAAUCAGCAUCGGCUAACUCCGUG